rnacentral:rRNA from 1 species
GGAGGGGACCCAAACCUUCUGAAUUUUUUAAUAAGUAUCUUCUGAGUGGUUAAAAAAAUGAAUCAAAACUUUCAACAACGGAUCUCUUGGUUCUGGCAUCGAUGAAGAACGCAGCGAAAUGCGAUAAGUAAUGUGAAUUGCAGAAUUCAGUGAAUCAUCGAAUCUUUGAACGCACAUUGCGCCCGUCAGUAUUCUGGCGGGCAUGCCUGUUCGAGCGUCAUUACGCCCCUCAAGUCCCCUGUGGACUUGGUGUUGGGGAUCGGCGAGGCUGGUUUUCCAGCACAGCCGUCCCUUAAAUUAAUUGGCGGUCUCGCCGUGGCCCUCCUCUGCGCAGUAGUAAAACACUCGCAACAGGAGCCCGGCGCGGUCCACUGCCGUAAAACCCCCCAACUUUUUAUAGUUGACCUCGAAUCAGGUAGGACUACCCGCUGAACUUAAGCAUAUCAAUAAGCGGA